ACGAGUCAUCCCCAGUGCACUGGUCUUCCCGAAUAAACCUCUUGCAGUUUGCAUCAAGACUGUUAAGACUGUUUCUCGUUGCCAAAGGAUCCGAGAAGGUGAAGACUUCCUGGAUUCUCUUCACUUGAUGAACUUGUUGCAGUCUUGCAGUUUUUCUCCUUUCUCUGAACCAGCAGCUCCAAAGAGCAGCUUGCAUAAUGUGCAAGGAGAUAUUCUCCAAGGAGCAGUUUGUACACACAGCCACUAAGCAUGCAGACGAGUCCACACAUUUCCCUGAGAUAGAACCUUCUCUGAUGAUGGCUAAGCAAGAUGCCAAUUGAGUUGUUGGCCACCAUGGAAACUCAAACUACUCAGGCCACUGACAAGACUAUUGGUUGCUCUUUACAAACUGAUGAACUGUUGGGACAAAAAUGGAGAAGAGAUUGAAGACAGGAGCCUCGCAUGGCUGGCCUCUGAGAGGCUCUACCAGUAGCUGACUGAGAUGGGCACAGAAACUUUCACCAACCACUGGACUGAAGUCAAGGACCCCUAUGGCUGAAUUAGGAGGUCUGAAGAAGCUGAAGGGGAGGAUGAUCCCAUAGGAAGACCAGCAGUCUCAACCCCAGGGAGCUCUUAGAGACUGAGCCACCCACCAGUCACUGUACUUGGGCUAGCAGAAUACUGCUUGGUUUGGCCUCAGUGGGAGAAGAGGCUGCAGGGAAGGGGGUGACCUGGUGGGGGGGGAGAAACACCCUCUAGGAGGCAAGGGGGAGGAGGAGUGUGUUGAGGAACUGUGGAAAGAAGAACUCAGACGGGGGAACAACGGCUGGAAUGUAAAUAAAUAAAAUACUUUUUAAAAAUUGACAUCAUGAAAUUUUCAGGCAAAUGGCUCUAGAAAAAAAUCUUCCUGGGUGAGGUAACCCACACCCAGAAAGAUCAUUCAUUUAUAGGUGGAUAUUAUCCAUUAAAUAAAUGAUAACCAAGCUACAAUCUAUAGACCCAGAGAGGUUAGGUAAAGAGAACGAGUUUAGAGGAAUUCAGGAACCUGCCUGGGAGGGGGAAAUUCAAUAGAUUUUUGUGGCAGACUGUGGGCAGGUGGUGAUGGGAGUGGGAGGAAUCAGGUGAAGGGAAGUUGGGGUAGAGGGGAAGAGUAUGAAGAGAGAUGGCAGCUAUUGGGGGUGGAAUUUGGAAGAUGAUAUGAAAACCUAGUACAGUAGAAACUUCCUGGAAUUUAUGAAGGUGAAUGUAAUGAGAACUCCUAGUAAUGAGGGAUAUGGACUCUCAACAAGCCUUCUCUUGUUGUCAAGUAAGGUUUCUAGUGUUGGAACUAGGUUGCAGUGAGUUGAGUUGUUGGUCAAGGGAGUGUCAUAAAAAUCCCCAAACAAAACUGCUAUUGCUAAGACAAAGACAGUCUUCAAACUGACAGCAGGGACCCCAAUGCUGAGCACAACACCCACACAAUUCACUGAACAUGGAAAAGUAGAGCUGGUUCCUACAUGAAGCCUUCGCCUCAAUAUUCUAUGUCUGUGGUAUUGGACAGUACUCUGGCAGACUACCAAUAGAGAAACAUGGACACCAACCCAGACACAAAACCUUUGACCUAAAAGUCUGUAGGAUACAGGAAUACCCUUAGUGCACACCUUUAAUCCCAAACAAUGAAAGUAAGGUGAGUUUAUAGAAAGAAGCAGCCAUGUUUGAAAGUGACAUUGAAUUGAUGGGCAGACAAAGUGACAAGUCAGAGAAAGAUUUGACAGAAUAAAUGAGAAUAAACCCAACUUUUAUGAGAGCACACAGAAAAGAGAGGGUAGACACAGGUAGUGGUGAUGUGUAUGUAUGGCAGGUUUUACUGGGACAGUUUUAUAGAGACAGGUUGCAGGUAAAGACAGAAUAGGGCAGAAAAUGAGAAAAAAAAUCAGAAGAUUAGAACAGAAUGCCUGAGUUAGUUUGAGGGCAAGCAGAGCAAUUCAGCCACAAGCCAAGUUUUUAUCAGUCAGGAGAGGAGUUUUGAGCAAGAACAGCUGAGUUCAGAGUUCAGAAAGAACUAGAAAGGGCACUCUUAUUCAACGUUAAACCUCUGAGAUGACAAUCACAUUGGGUGAAUAAAAGUUACUUUUACAACAAUCUAUAUUGCCUGCAAAAUAUGCUAGGACAAUGGUGGCACAGAACUUGUAGGUGUGGCCAACUAAUGUCUGAUUUGACCUACAGCCCACUCCAUGAGAUGGGACCUAUACCUGACAAUGCUUGGGCAACAAAGAACUAGAGAUUAGAUAACACAAAGACCUAUGGUGAAACCAAACAUUGUUGGUAUAAAGUAACUCAAUAAAAUGAUAUUUGGCUAUACUCAUAGACCAGUGCCUUUUCAAGUCAUCCUCAGAACUGCUUUCUCCAGCAGCAGAUGGGUACAGAUGCAGAGACCCAUGGCCAGACAUUAUGUGAACAGAGAGUCUAACUUGUAGGUUUCCAUCAAAUCCCUGCCCUCAGAGAUCAGGGAAUCUUUCAGAAAAGGUGGCAGAAAGAUUGCAAGUACCAGGGGGAUGGAAGAUACCAGGAGAAUAAGGCCCUCUGAAUUAACUAAGCAAGGCACAUAUGAUCUUAAAGAGAUUCAAGCAGCAAACACUGGGCUGACAUGGGUCUGUACGAGGUCCUCUGCAUAUAUAUUAUAUCUAAUAACUUAGCUUUUGUAUGUAACUCCUGACUGUGAGAACAAAUAUGUCUCUGCUCUUAGGACUCUUUUCCUCCUCUGGGUUGCUGUGUUCAGCUUUGAUAUGAUAGCUUUUGCUUCAUCUUAUUAUAGAUUAUUUUGUUUUGUUAGGUUGCUAUCUCUUAGAAGUCUCUUUUUUUCUAUUGACAAUAAAGGAGUGGAUUUGGAAAACAGGGGAGGUGGGCAGGAACUGGGAGCAAUAGGAGAAAAAAACUAUAAGGAGGAUAUAUUGUAUGGGAAAAGGAUCUAUUUUUAAAUAAAAGUAAAAAUAUAUGAAAAAUAAAUUCAUUAGGUCAAAUAUAACAAAAGG
ensembl:lincRNA